AACGGCGAGUGAAGAGGGAAAAGCCCAAAUUUGUAAUCUGGCUCUUUCAGAGUCCGAGUUGUAAUUUUAAGAACUGUUUUCCGUGCUGGACCAUGUACAAGUCUGUUGAAAAACAGCAUCAUUGAGGGUGAAAAUCCCGUACAUGAUAUGGACUACCAGUGCAAUGUGAUACAGUCUCUAAGAGUCGAGUUGUUUGGGAAUGCAGCUCAAAGUGGGUGGUAAAUUCCAUCUAAGGCUAAAUAUAGGUGAGAGACCGAUAGCAAACAAGUACCGUGAGGGAAAGAUGAAAAGAACUUUGGAAAGAGAGUUAACAGUACGUGAAAUUGUUAAAAGGGAAACAUUUGAAGUUAGACUUGUUAUUGUUGGUUCAACUUCUUUAUUGAGGUGUAUUCCAAUGGUUAACAGACCAGCAUCAAUUUUUGGGUGUUGGAUAAGGGUUUAGGAAAUGUGGCAACCUUGGUUGUGUUAUAGUCCUUUACUCUUGAUACAAUGCUUAGGAAUUGAGGAACGCAGUAAGCUUUGUAGCAGAUUUCUUUGGAGAUCUUCUUACUA
rnacentral:rRNA from 1 species